rnacentral:lncRNA from 1 species
UGAGACUUGGAAUGGAUCAAAUCUCUUCUAGGAUAACUUCUUAAUGGAUAUUAAAAGAGGUAAAUGAUGAAGAAAUACUUUACUAUGCACUUGUAUAAAUGAAGGCCUUUGGAUAAGUGAGAAAAAUGAAACGGAUUAGAAAAAAACAUGUUUUAAAAAAAUUAAAAUUUAUUGUUUAUAGUUUUCAUAAGGUGAUGAAAUAUAGUAAAUCGAUUUGAA